GUGAGGAAUAUUGCACAAUGGGCGAAAGCCUGAUGCAGCAACGCCGCGUGGGCGAUGAAGGCCUUCGGGUCGUAAAGCCCUUUUCUGAGGGAAGAGGAAGGACGGUACCUCAGGAAUAAGCCUCGGCUAACUACGUGCCAGCAGCCGCGGUAAAACGUAGGAGGCAAGCGUUAUUCGGAUUUACUGGGCGUAAAGCGCGUGCAGGCGGCUCUGCAAGUCGGACGUGAAAUCUCUCGGCUUAACUGAGAGGCGUCGUUCGAAACUGCUGGGCUUGAGGUUGGGAGAGGAGAGUGGAAUUCCCGGUGUAGUGGUGGAAUGCGUAGAUAUCGGGAGGAACACCAGUGGCGAAAGCGGCUCUCUGGUCCACACCUGACGCUGAGACGCGAAAGCGUGGGGAGCGAACGGGAUUAGAAACCCGGGUAGUCC
rnacentral:rRNA from 1 species